UACGUAGGGCGCAAGCGUUGUCCGGAAUUAUUGGGCGUAAAGAGCUCGUAGGCGGUUUGUCGCGUCUGCUGUGAAAACUCGAAGGCUCAACCUCGGGCUUGCAGUGGGUACGGGCAGACUAGAGUGCGGUAGGGGUGACUGGAAUUCCUGGUGUAGCGGUGGAAUGCGCAGAUAUCAGGAGGAACACCAAUUGCGAAGGCAGCUCGCUGGGACGUUACUGACGA
rnacentral:rRNA from 1 species